rnacentral:rRNA from 1 species
ACGGGUGAGUAAUGCCUAGGAAUCUGCCUGGUAGUGGGGGACAACGUUUCGAAAGGAACGCUAAUACCGCAUACGUCCUACGGGAGAAAGCAGGGGACCUUCGGGCCUUGCGCUAUCAGAUGAGCCUAGGUCGGAUUAGCUAGUUGGUGAGGUAAUGGCUCACCAAGGCGACGAUCCGUAACUGGUCUGAGAGGAUGAUCAGUCACACUGAAACUGAGACACGGUCCAGACUCCUACGGGAGGCAGCAGUGGGGAAUAUUGGACAAUGGGCGAAAGCCUGAUCCAGCCAUGCCGCGUGUGUGAAGAAGGUCUUCGGAUUGUAAAGCACUUUAAGUUGGGAGGAAGGGUUGUAGAUUAAUACUCUGCAAUUUUGACGUUACCGACAGAAUAAGCACCGGCUAACUCUGUGCCAGCAGCCGCGGUAAUACAGAGGGUGCAAGCGUUAAUCGGAAUUACUGGGCGUAAAGCGCGCGUAGGUGGUUCGUUAAGUUGGAUGUGAAAUCCCCGGGCUCAACCUGGGAACUGCAUUCAAAACUGUCGAGCUAGAGUAUGGUAGAGGGUGGUGGAAUUUCCUGUGUAGCGG